CCGGUGUUGGAUCUAUGAUGAUUUCUGGUCAUCAUCAAUAUGAAUCAUAUACAAUGAAAGUGUCUCUGGAAAUAGAGGUCCAAUAUUGGAUUAAGCUUGUCCAUUCACAGCAGAGAAGAUAUUCUGUAGACAGAUGUUGGAAAGAGUGCCUCGUUUUAUUAUCAUCUCCUUUGCGUAUUCUCCUCAGAAUGGGUGCACUUGGGCGGGUGGAAGCAUCUUCCACGGUUACACACUCUCUGGUCUCAUUUGUGCUGUAGACCCUACACCCUCAAGCUGAUUUAAGCAGUGGCACCGUGGCACUGACCUCUGUGUUUGCAUCUCUGUGUUAGGAGCACAGAGACCAGUGCUUGUCACCGUGGGCUAAUGUAAGGCUUCCUCGUGGUCAUGAAUUCUGUGGUUGCAUUUGAUGUGUUAAGGGUUAGGAGAACAAAAUGCUGAAACUGAUUUUAGCCUCUGUUGUCACCAAGACUGUGAGACCAAGAACAGAUGCAUCUUCCAGCGUCAUGAGCUCUCCGGUUGCCUGUGUCUAAUAGGAAUACAGAGAUUAAUAAUGGACGUGAACUACUAAUCAUUCUCUAAUGAUCAAGACCUUCAUGGUUGAAGGGUGGAUCGACUGUAGCUCAUUAAGUUACUCUCCAACCAUGACGAGCUUUGCCUAAUGCCUCUGGGGAAGGAGCACACCAUGCCAUGAAGGACAGCAAGGUGUGCCUUUGGGGACAUCACCAGGCCUCUCCAAGUCCCAUGCCCGUCAUCUGUAAAAGGGAAGUCAAAUUUCAUUCAUUGAUUCUGCCAGCAUCUUGAAAGUGUGAAGAGCUGUGCCCUGACCGAAGCAUGUGGCCCCUGCGUGCAGCUCCCUGCCCUGUGCAGCGUGUGAGCUCCGUGUCACGUGUUCUUCUCCCGUCCCUGCCCUUGAGCCUCAGCGGUGCUGUGGGUUUUCCUUCCCGCGCAGAAUCUCCCCACUGGCCUCCUCCUCCUCACGUCUUCCCUCCCCUGGUCUCCCAGGACCUUGGUCUCCCCCAGGGACCCUCUCAGGGGUGUUGCAUCCUUCUUUUCAUCACCUGAGUCUCGCAGUUGUAGCCAGAGGCUGCCUAGCCUGGCCUCAGUUUCCCCAUCUGCAG
ensembl:lncRNA